UACGGGGGGAGCAAGCGUUGUUCGGAUUUACUGGGCGUAAAGGGCGCGUAGGCGGUCAGCACAAGUCAGUUGUGAAAUCUCCGGGCUUAACUCGGAAAGGUCAACUGAUACUGUGCGACUAGAGUGCAGAAGGGGCAACUGGAAUUCUCGGUGUAGCGGUGAAAUGCGUAGAUAUCUGGAGGAACACCGGUGGCGAAGGCGGCGCUCUGGACUGCAACUGACACUGAAAAACGAAAGCCAGGGGAGCAAACGGG
rnacentral:rRNA from 1 species